rnacentral:rRNA from 1 species
AUUGAACGCUGGCGGCAGGCUUAACACAUGCAAGUCGAGCGGGGGCUUCGGUCCUAGCGGCGAACGGGUGAGGAAUGCCUGGGAAUCUGCCUGGUAGUGGGGGAUAACGAUUCGAAAGGGUCGCUAAUACCGCAUACGUCCUACGGGAGAAAGCAGGGGACCUUCGGGCCUUGCGCUAUCAGAUGAGCCCAGGUCGGAUUAGCUAGUAGGUGAGGUAAAGGCUCACCUAGGCGACGAUCCGUAGCUGGUCUGAGAGGAUGAUCAGCCACACUGGAACUGAGACACGGUCCAGACUCCUACGGGAGGCAGCAGUGGGGAAUAUUGGACAAUGGGCGAAAGCCUGAUCCAGCCAUGCCGCGUGUGUGAAGAAGGCCUCGGUUGUAAGACUCUUUCCUAGUUGAAAGAAAAGGUUAGUGACUAAUAAUACAUAACUC